UACGGAAGGCAGCAGUGGGGAAUAUUGCACAAUGGGCGAAAGCCUGAUGCAGCUAUGCCGCGUGUAUGAAGAAGGCCUUAGGGUUGUAAAGUACUUUCAUCGGGGAGGAAAAAACAAAACUAAUAAUUUUAUUUCUUGACGUUACCCGAAAAAGAAGCACCGGCUAACUCCGUGCCAGCAGCCGCGGUAAUACGGAGGGUGCUAGCGUUAAUCAGAAUUACUGGGCGUAAAGAGCACGUAGGUGGUUUUUUUAAGUCAGAUGUGAAUCCCUGGGCUUAACCUAGGAACUGCAUUUUGAAACUGAAAUACUAGAGUAUCGUAGAGGGAGGUAGAAUUCUAGGUGUAGCGGUGAAAUGCGUAGAUAUCUGGAGGAUACCUGUGGCGAAAGCGGCCUCCUAAACGAAUACUGACACUGAGGUGCGAAAGCGUGGGGAGCAAACAGGGAUUAGAUACC
rnacentral:rRNA from 1 species